UGGGGAAUAUUGCGCAAUGGGGGGAACCCUGACGCAGCAACGCCGCGUGAAGGAUGAAGGCCUUCGGGUUGUAAACUUCUUUGAUUGGGGAAGAAAUUUGACGGUACCCAAAGAACAAGCCACGGCUAACUACGUGCCAGCAGCCGCGGUAAUACGUAGGUGGCGAGCGUUGUCCGGAAUUACUGGGUGUAAAGGGCGUGUAGGCGGGGAUGCAAGUCAGAUGUGAAAUUCCGGGGCUCAACCCCGGCACUGCAUCUGAAACUGUGUCUCUUGAGUGCUGGAGAGGAAAGUGGAAUUCCUAGUGUAGCGGUGAAAUGCGUAGAGAUUAGGAGGAACACCAGUGGCGAAGGCGACUUACUGGGCCGUAACUGACGCUGAGGCGCGAAAGCGUGGGGAGCGAACAGG
rnacentral:rRNA from 2 species